GCCCGAUUAGCUCAGCUGGUUAGAGCGUCGUACUAAUAUCUUCUUUGAGAUAUCAAGUCAAUGCGAAGGUCAACAGUUCAAUCCUGUUAUUGGGCA
rnacentral:tRNA from 2 species